GGUACAUGGAAGAGGGUAAGCCAAACAUACCACCUGACACAAGCGAUAUGUGCCCAAUACCAGGCAGUUUCUUUUUUCUGUUUUUCCAGGAUUUUCUAAAACUCGAUACGUACCAGCAGACUAACACUUGGUACACUUCUAUAGACCAAUACAAUAUGGUUAAAAUAUUCUACAUGAUCACCCAUAACAAUAUUGUUCACGAGGACUAUUUUGGUACAAUAGUAAAGAGUUCAGAGCAAGAUUCAAGUUUCAGUUCAAACCCCUUCUCAAUCAAUUCCUUGCUAGAUAUGUAUGGGUCUGGUACUUAUUAGUAAACUAACAAAUGGUAAGUUGGCAUACUACUCAGCACAGAUCAAAAGGAGGGAAGAUGAAAGAAAGAGGAGGAGACAGAGAUAGAGAAGCGGGGGAAGAGGAGAAGGUGGAGGCAGAGGGAAAAUACCAGAGACUUAUGAAGAAGCAACGAUGUGAGGCAGCAGGCAGCAGCAAGUGCUACGACAAGAGAGAAUCAGGAGAGAGAAGAGCAUGGGAGAAAUAUAAAUUAAAGAAAAGAUAGUUGUUGUUGUCAAGUCAAAACAAACCCAUAAGCCUGAUUUUGAACUGGACCAGAAAAAGUUGCCUAGUCUGAGUGUCAGAUCUUGGUUAGAUCAAUGAAUAUGAACCAAUCUGAUUGGUUUUCAAAAACAUGAUUUAAGCAAGAUUUUAAAUCUCAGUCUAUAGUAGAGAUUAAUUGGUAGUUGAACUAGUAUGAUACUGUUAUGGGUUGGCUUACUAAUAUACAGUACCCCUGGACCCUGGACCACUGUGAGAGAGAGAGAGAGAGAGAGAGAGAGAGAGAGAGAGAGAGAGAGAGNNNNNNNNNNNNNNNNNNNNGAGAGAGAGAGAGAGGCAGUGAUGGAGAAAGAGGAAAUAGGGGAUGUGUAACUGAAGUAGGAGAUGAUGUGUACCAAAGGAGGCGGUAACAACAAAAUGAGUAGGAGGCGAUAGCAAUGAUGCAAGGAGGCAGCGGCAACAACGUGACGAGGCAACUACCAAGUUGGGGUGACUACUAUAAUUUAGGCAGAGGCGGAGCGAGAGAUGAAAAGCUACAAGAGGGAGAAAGAGAGUUGUCAACAACUAUUUACAGCAUGAAGAGGAGAGGGUCUGUAAAUAUAAGUAAAAAGUUCUGAAAUGUCUUGGUACUGAGUGGUAGACUUACCCUGCGCUAAAACUUAAUACGGCUGACAAUAAUGAUUGUAUAUAACAGUGAGUGUAUAAUUAAUUAUAUGUGCACAAGUCUGAUAAAUUGUCAUCAGGCUCCUUAGUUGCUGUGAUCAGAUAAAUCAAAAGUUUAGGGAAAAGGCAAUCUGUGAAGGAUAAUACCCUCAUCUUAUUCUUGUGUUCCUAUCUUAUCUUGUUAGUUUCCUUAUUUCCAGAACAAAAAGAUUUUUCGUCCUCGGUUCAUAAGUCUCCUCAUAUUCCCUUCAACUAAGAUUCUUCAUUUCUUUUGUAAGAUUGGUCAUAUUUAGCCCUAAUGUAUAACUAAUAUUUUCCUUGAAACUUUGUAGAGGAUUUAAUGAUGACCACCAAAUUUUGUCCACUAUGAGAUAGAAGUUCUGAAGUUGUAAGAAGGAACUGUGCAUAAAGGUUAUAUUUGCAUUAAGACAGUGUUGAAUGGUUAUUCUGAAAGACAACAUGCCAUCCCAAGGAAGUAGGAUAUAUUCAUAUUGGAUAAGAUUGACUUUGUUCAAUGUAAAUGUUACAACAACAACAAAAAAUAAGCAAAGAAUCCUUGUCCCUUGUUUAAGCCCAUUCAUAAAC
rnacentral:lncRNA from 1 species